AUUGAACGCUGGCGGCAGGCUUAACACAUGCAAGUCGAGCGAGCGGCGGACGGGUGAGUAAUGUCGGGGAAACUGCCUGAUGGAGGGGGAUAACUACUGGAAACGGUAGCUAAUACCGCAUACCAUCAGAUGUGCCCAGAUGGGAUUAGCUAGGAGGUGGGGUAAUGGCUCACCUAGGCGACGAUCCCUAGCUGGUCUGAGAGGAUGACCAGCCACACUGGAACUGAGACACGGUCCAGAAUGCUAUGGGAGGCAGCAGGGGGGAAUCUUGCACAAUGGGCGCAAGCCUGAUGGAGCCAUGCAGCAUGUGUGAAGAAGGCCUUCGGGUUGUAAAGCGCUUUCAGCGAGGAGGCGUUACUCGCAGAAGAAGCACCGGCUACCUCCGUGCCAGCAGCCGCGGUAAUAC
rnacentral:rRNA from 1 species